CGAACGUUAGCGGCGGGCCUAACACAUGCAAGUCGAACGAGAAAAUCCCUUCGGGGGUGAGUACAGUGGCGCACGGGUGAGGAACGCGUAGGUAAUCCACCCUCUGGCGGGGGACAACAUUCCGAAAGGAAUGCUAAUACCGCGUAAGACCACGCUCACUACGGUGAAAGUGGUUAAAGGUGCCUCAAAGCACCACCAGAGGACGAGCCUGCGUCCCAUCAGCUUGUUGGUAAGGUAACGGCUUACCAAGGCGAAGACGGGUAGCUGGUCUGAGAGGAUGAUCAGCCACACUGGCACUGGAACACGGGCCAGACUCCUACGGGAGGCAGCAGUGAGGAAUAUUGGGCAAUGGGCGCAAGCCUGACCCAGCCACGCCGCGUGUGUGAUGAAGGCCUUCGGGUCGUAAAGCACUGUGGGGAGAGACGAAACAGCGCAUCAGGAAAUGGGUGCGCCUUGACGGUACCUCCUUAGCAAGCACCGGCUAACUCU
rnacentral:rRNA from 1 species